rnacentral:rRNA from 1 species
GAAGGAUCAUUAUUGAAAUAAAACUCAGGCAGGGGGGAGUGUGGUUGUAGCUGGCCCCCUAAUAAGGGCAUGUGCACACUGUCUCUUUCUCUUGUUUGUUUUUUCAUUCUUUCCACUUGUGCACUGCUUGUAGGCAGCCUGGCAUUGUUCGGGUUGUCUAUGAUUUUAUUUUACAUACAUGAAUCAUUGUUGUACAGAAUGUGAUAAAAAAAUAAUAAUACAACUUUCAACAACGGAUCUCUUGGCUCUCGCAUCGAUGAAGAACGCAGCGAAAUGCGAUAAGUAAUGUGAAUUGCAGAAUUCAGUGAAUCAUCGAAUCUUUGAACGCAUCUUGCGCUCCUUGGUAUUCCGAGGAGCAUGCCUGUUUGAGUGUCAUUAAAUUCUGUCAAAACAUGCACUUGAGUGUGUUUUGGAUUGUGGGAGUGUCUGCUGGCUUUAUAUGAGUCAGCUCUCCUGAAAGACAUUAGCUUUGGAGGGAUGUGCCAAGUCACUUCUGCCUUUCCAUUGGUGUGAUAGAUGAAUAAACUUAUCUACGCCAGGAAAGCAGGUUGCAGGUGAUGCACUGUGAUCUCUCUGCUCUCUAAUUGACAUUUGUCUGAUAACUUGACCUCAAAUCAGGUAGGACUACCCGCUGAACUUAA